UACAGAGGUCUCAAGCGUUGUUCGGAUUCAUUGGGCGUAAAGGGUGCGUAGGCGGCGCGGUAAGUCGGGUGUGAAAUCUUGGAGCUUAACUCCGAGACUGCAUUCGAUACUGCCGUGCUUGAGGACUGGAGAGGAGACUGGAAUUUACGGUGUAGCGGUGAAAUGCGUAGAUAUCGUAAGGAAGACCAGUGGCGAAGGCGGGUCUCUGGGCCUUACCUGACGCUGAGGAGCGAAAGCGUGGGGAGCGAACAGG
rnacentral:rRNA from 1 species